rnacentral:siRNA from 1 species
UUAUUAUGCCGUUGAUUCAGUA